AUCAACCGAGAUUCCCCCAGUAGCGGCGAGCGAACGGGGAGGAGCCCAGAGCCUGAAUCAGUGUGUGUGUUAGUGGAAGCGUCUGGAAAGGCGCGCGAUACAGGGUGACAGCCCCGUACACAAAAAUGCACAUGCUGUGAGCUCGAUGAGUAGGGCGGGACACGUGGUAUCCUGUCUGAAUAUGGGGGGACCAUCCUCCAAGGCUAAAUACUCCUGACUGA
rnacentral:rRNA from 1 species